rnacentral:rRNA from 1 species
CGAGAAAGCCCGCAAGGGUGAGUAAAGCGGCGCACGGGUGCGUAACACGUGGGUAAUCUGCCCUAGAGUCCGGAAUAACUCGCCGAAAGGCGUGCUAAUGCCGGAUGAGACCACGGGAGCCUCGGCUCCUGCGGGAAAAGGUGGCCUCUGUAUACAAGCUAUCGCUCUAGGAUGAGCCCGCGGCCCAUCAGCUCGUUGGCGGGGUAAUGGCCCACCAAGGCUACGACGGGUAGCUGGUCAGAGAGGACGAUCAGCCACACUGGAACUGAGACACGGUCCAGACUCCUACGGGAGGCAGCAGUGGGGAAUCUUGCGCAAUGGGCGAAAGCCUGACGCAGCAACGCCGCGUGUGUGAUGAAGGUCUUCGGAUCGUAAAGCACUGUCGCGAGGGACG